AUUGAACGCUGGCGGCAGGCCUAACACAUGCAAGUCGAACGGUAACAGGAAACAGCUUGCUGUUUCGCUGACGAGUGGCGGACGGGUGAGUAAUGUCUGGGAAACUGCCUGAUGGAGGGGGAUAACUACUGGAAACGGUAGCUAAUACCGCAUAACGUCGCAAGACCAAAGAGGGGGACCCUCGGGCCUCUUGCCAUCGGAUGUGCCCAGAUGGGAUUAGCUUAUUGGUGGGGUAACGGCUCACCAAGGCGACGAUCCCUAGCUGGUCUGAGAGGAUGACCAGCCACACUGGAACUGAGACACGGUCCAGACUCCUACGGGAGGCAGCAGUGGGGAAUAUUGCACAAUGGGCGCAAGCCUGAUGCAGCCAUGCCGCGUGUAUGAAGAAGGCCUUCGGGUUGUAAAGUACUUUCAGCGGGGAGGAAGGGAGUAAAGUUAAUACCUUUGCUCAUUGACGUUACCCGCAGAAGAAGCACCGGCUAACUCCGUG
rnacentral:rRNA from 1 species